UCCUCAGUAGCUCAGUGGUAGAGCAAUCGGCUGUUAACCGAUUGGUCGUAGGUUCAAAUCCUUCCUGAGGAG
rnacentral:tRNA from 1 species